CGCCGCCUCCCAUUUCUCAAUUCUCCUCCAUUCCUCUCUUAAUUCUUUGUGACAUUCAUUUCUCCAUCAAAUUAUUGCACCACAUAAAAGAUCAAAUUCGCGUGAUGGGCAUUUUAAGACGCAAAGCCACUUCUGAUGCCUCCUUUGCUUUGAUACAAAUCCUCAAGCUAAGUUAAAGAAAUAUUAUUUGUACUUCAAUUUAUUUUUCUGUUGCGUCUCUCAUACGAAAUUCUUUUUCUUUCAGUUGUAGGGCAAUAAAAAUUUGGGUUUCUCUAGAUGACAUAUUACGUGUAUGUAUUUGUGGGUUCUUAUUGAUUUAAUUUUAUUGUAGAGUCAAAGAAGAAUUAAUAUUUAUUGUCUAACUUCGAGUACAUGAAAGUGUAAAUUUAUUCAAGAACAACUUUACUAGACGAGUGGUUACAUUAGUGUUUGAGGAAGCAGUUACUAAAAUUAUUUGUAUUUUGAUUCGACCUCAUGUUGUUGAAUCAAUUUUAUUUUAUUUCGGUGUUUUAGUUUACGGAGUUUGUAAUGAAUAUUAUCUCAAUGUAGUAUUAGUUCUUAGUUAUGUGAUCGUCGGUGAAAAUUUUUGUUGUUACCUUCCA